CCUACGGGUGGCAGCAGUGAGGAAUAUUGGUCAAUGGCCGGAAGGCUGAACCAGCCAAGCCGCGUGAAGGACAGUGGCCUAUGGGCGUUAAACUUCUUUUGUGCGGGAGCAAUAAUGGUCACGUGUGGCGAGACGGGAGUACCGUACGAAUAAGCAACGGCUAACUCCGUGACCGCAGCCGCGGUAAUACGGGGGCUGCAGGCGUUAUCCGGAUUUAGUGGGUUUAAAGGGAGCGUAGAUGGGUUGUUAAGUUAGUUGUGAAAGUCUGCGGCUCAACCGUAGAAGUGCAAUUGAUACUGGCAGUCUUGAGUGCAGAUGAGGUGGGUGGAAUUCGUGGUGUAGCGGUGAAAUGCGUAGAUAUCACGAAGAACCCCGAUUGCGAAGGCAGCUUACGAAUCUGUGACUGACAUUGAUGCUCGAAAGUGUGGGUAUCAAACAGGAUUAGAUACCCUAGUAGUC
rnacentral:rRNA from 1 species